rnacentral:rRNA from 2 species
UACGUAGGGUGCAAGCGUUGUCCGGAAUUAUUGGGCGUAAAGAGCUCGUAGGCGGUCUGUUGCGUCGACGGUGAAAACCCUCAGCUCAACUGGGGGCCUGCCGUCGAUACGGGCAGACUUGAGUGCGGUAGGGGAGACCGGAAUUCCUGGUGUAGCGGUGAAAUGCGCAGAUAUCAGGAGGAACACCGGUGGCGAAGGCGGGUCUCUGGGCCGUCACUGACGCUGAGGAGCGAAAGCGUGGGGAGCGAACAGG